UGUUAGGUAAAAGGACACAAGUGCAGCUGAUGUGACAGUUUAUUGUGGCAACGUUUCACUCACCAGAAGCUUUGACAAGCCGUUAUGUAGCAGCUUGACAAAAUUCCUGGAGAGCGAAAUGUUGCCGCAAUAAAAUGUCACGUCACAUUAGCCGCACUUGUGUCUUUUUACCUAACAUACUGUGGGUAAUUCCACCAACAUUAUUACAACAUUAGCGCUGCCUGGUAUCCGUCUUGCAUCAGGAUGGCUGCUGCUCCCACAGCUGUUCUCAUACAUUAAGCUAUUUUUUUGUUUGCAGCUGUGUUCUGCUCUGCUACAGACACUUGUGUACAGCAGUUGCCGAACUCUGGGGAAAAUACUCAAUGAAGUCUCUGGGGACUUAAGUAACUACAAGCCCAUCAAGUCUUCCAUAUAUCUUGCAACAGUAGAUCAAUGUACAGCCUUCACUCUCAUGGUUGUGAGAACAUCAACAAUCACCAUCCCAGAGACACCAUCACAUCGUGAUCAAUACCCACAGUUUCUACAAGCAAGAGCCUUCAAAAUGGACAGCAUCCACUAAAGACUGUGACCUUGAGGUUAGGUCCAUCUUGGACCUAACAGAGGGAUUUUUAAAUCAAAUACCAGGAGCCAAUGUCACAAAGGGUUCAGGGCCAAGAUAGCAAAAUUUACAAGAGCACAGUAACCAUGCCAUGAACACUGUCAGCAGAGGUCAGGGCCUAAACCAAAACUAGAGAAAAUAAAAGCUCUUCCAGAUUCUGUGAGGUACAAGUCAAUGUACCACUGUUCCCAUUUCCAGAUAGGCCUGUAAAUUGUGCUGGACAUCUGAUUAAGUGCACUGGCCUAGGUGGCUGUGCAGUCAUUCUCUGCCUCUGACACAAAGAACAGUUAACUCCUACCUGUAUGAACUCUCUUGCAUUCAUGCAGCUAGCAGCUGCUUUGAACAUUCCACCAACCAGUGAAAAGCUCUGUUCCUGGCGUGGUCAUUCAGGGUAGAUACCAGAUAAAGGAGCAAGACACUUGUUAAUUGGACUCGUUAACAUUAUUCGACUACUACCGACCCUUAUUUAUUCUACUUGUGGUGCUCCAACCAAGUGGUAGAGGAGAUUCCAAAACAUCGGACUGUUACCAUCCGCCCAGGAUAACCUACAUCAUCUUUAACAUCGGAGAUCUGUCCAGGGCCUUACCUACUCCUGCCCAACUACAGCACCAGAACAAAAGGCCAUUUUUAUUAUAUUUAAAAUUUAAGUAAAAUCCUCAAAAGUC